rnacentral:lncRNA from 10 species
UAACUCGCAGCCUUAUUACCUCAGUUCAAGGAUCCUACUGGGCUCCUCUCAGACUUUCUUCUCUGUCCCGUAGCCUGCAUAGUCUCUGAAGGCAGCAAGCUGGGGCAGUCAUAGGGCUUACCUAGUUUGUUUCUUGUCUCUUAGGGAGUAACUAUCCUUUGUUGUCUUAGGUCUAGUGUCUUGAAAAUGGCGUUUCUGACAUUUUAUCUUUUUUAUUUUGAAUGCAGGAGGGUAAAUUCAAUCCUGGUAACUUAAUUGUGGGCAAAAGUGCAAAUCUCCUGGCAUCCAAUUCUUACCAUAGAUUUCUGAUGUCUGGAAGCAUGGUGGAGCAACACACUUCUGAAGGGACAGCAGGUGCUGUAGUGAAGUUUUCCACAAAAGAAGAAAAUGUUGUGCUCUUUGUCUACCUCACCAACUUCCCUUCAGCCCUUGGGGAGUGUAGAAGACCUCCAUGUUCAUCAGGGCUCCAUUUUAAGGAGAGAACAGAAGUUGGAGGAUAAGGUGGGAGUUCUGAUUGAUGUGGACCAGAUAAGGUGACAUCUGGCCAAAGAGGAAGCUGGGAGCCACAGACUGCUAAUAGGAUGAAGGGAGACACAGCUACCCCUCUGUGGGGUCAUCAGAGAUGGAGGGGGCUGGCAUAAAGAUGAACAUCUGCGUCCAAAACCAUAUAACUCCAUACACCACAUCAUCUAAUAGGAGACCAACAUAUUGUCAGAGGCCGCCAGCAACAGAGGGAAGCAGGUAAAGCCAGUGUAAGAUCAGGAGCCUUUUUCCACCAAUGACAAACAGCCACUUAUUUAGAGCGAUCUCUGUUAUUCCUCUUAUUUUCCCUUCUUCCCUCAACAUGAAAGGCACUAGACCCAGAAAAGAAAGGAGAAAAUUAGAAGACAAGACCACAACCUUUUACCACCCUUGGUGUUUUUUUUUUCUUUUUUCUUUUUUUUGACAGUCUCACUCUGUUGCCCAGGUGCUGGAGUGCAGUGGCGUGAUCUCGGCUCACUGCAAACUCCGCCUCCCAGGUUCAAGUGAUUCUUGUGCCUCAGUCUCCCAAGUAGUUGGGACUACAGACAUGCACCACCAUGCCCAGCUAAUUUUGUAUUUUUUUUGUAGUGACAGGGUUUCUCCAUGUCCCCUUCCCACUCUCGUAACUUGAGGUACAAGUCUGGCAAACAUUGAAGCGAGACGAGGAAGUGCUAUUGAAACUGGAUAUGAGAUGGGAGUUGUGAACUAGACCAGACGGGACUUUUGGUAACUGAUAUCGAUGGGAAAGCAAUGGGAUCUACCUGAAAAUAUCAUUAGAAAAUGAUACUGACAGAUAGGACAAAUCAUGGUUAACAGUUGUGGCUAGAGUAAACAAGUUGAACUGUUUAUACCUAUACCGCAAUGGAUUGAGGCUUCUCAAUAAACUGGUUACAUCUGAUCUGCUAACAACAGCUGCUAAACAUUGAAAGGGGUACUGUGCUGACUGCUGUAUACACACUAUGUCAUUUGCUCUUCACAACCUAUAGGAUGGGCACUAGUUUUUCCCCCUUUUGGCAGAUGACAGAAACCGAGGCACAACCAACUUGUCUAAAUAUAGAUUACAGAAAUUUCACAUGUAUCUCUCCAGUUCACAGGAAGUGUCAUUCUCCUUAAUCACUUUGCUCUUAUCCUUGAUGUUUUUCCAAACAUUUUUGCUGAUGUUGAGUGUUUUCCAUUUCUCUGAGCUGUGUUGUCAGUCCAUCUCCUGAUGAAGCAAGGGCAGUUUGAAUGCUGAAUGGAGGUGGAUGAGGAAGGGGAACACUACGUGAAAAUAUUUGUUUUACACAGAUGAAAUGUUGGAUCAGAACGCACGGAACUACAUCCAGCUUGGUGCAGGGACCUGCGUUUGGAAGCCGCUGCUUCAGAGUGUUCCAGAGAACGGCAGCCUCACGCAAGCAUGAAGCGUUUAACUGUGCAACACAAAUCAACAACCUGGGCUCCUAGAAUUCAGGGUGAGGUUUCACAGAGUGUCAGAGUUGAAAAGGAUCUUGGGGCUCACUGAUGAAGCAUUAGCGACGAGGAGCCUGAGGCCAGAGGGAACGUGCCACGGACAGCCUGAGCUACAGUGCAGGUCUCCUCCCUCCUCCGCAGCACUGCUGACCACGGCUUUCCGUGGUUAUAAUACUGUCACUUCCCCGCUAGCCCAAGGAUCUGAAAAUACUUUUGAGGGAGGCCGCGAGGAACACAAGGGGAGCAGAUAAUGACAUGGUCCACAACACACUUAAGGAGUUGGCAGAGUUUGGGAUCAGGGGAUUCUGCGCGUGUGUGGAUAAUCAGCAUUCAGGAGAAGGUGUAGUGCACGUAAGUACUGGUGUGUGCACCGUGGUGGCAGGAGGUCACUUUGGUUUGGGGCUGGAAGGCUGGGAAGUCAGACCCUGCACUUUCUCAGUGUAAACCCUUGAUCCCCCUUCUCCUUUAGCCUCUCUCAUGACUGGUUCUGCAGGCUUCUGUCCUGGACCUUCUCUUCUCACUCUAUGUGGUCUUUCUGGAGCAUCAUCCAUCUUCCUGCCUCAAUAAUCAUCUAAUUCUUGAUGGCUUCUAAAUCUGUAUCUCCAGAGGAAAGUGUUUCUCUGAAUCUCAGACCUUUACAUCCCACUGUUUCCCGAAUGUCACUGAUUGCAUAACCUGUCACUUGUACAGAACUGAACUCCUCUCCCCUCCAAUCUGCUUCUCCUCAGUGAGCUCAGAAACCUGGAAGUGGUCCUUGACUCCCCCACUUUUCUUUACUGUUCCACCAC